rnacentral:rRNA from 1 species
UGGCGGGCGGGUGAGUAACGCGUGGAAAACCUGCCGUAUACUGGGGGAUAACACUUAGAAAUAGGUGCUAAUACCGCAUAAGCGCACAGCUUCGCAUGAAGCGGUGUGAAAAACUCUGGUGGUAUACGAUGGUUCCGCGUCUGAUUAGCUAGUUGGUGGGGUAAUGGCCUACCAAGGCAACGAUCAGUAGCCGGCCUGAGAGGGUGAACGGCCACAUUGGGACUGAGACACGGCCCAAACUCCUACGGAAGGCAGCAG